rnacentral:rRNA from 1 species
GAUGAACGCUGGCGGCGUGCCUAAUACAUGCAAGUCGAGCGAAUGACGAGGAGCUUGCUCCUCUGAUUUAGCGGCGGACGGGUGAGUAACACGUGGGUAACCUGCCUGUAAGACGGGGAUAACUCCGGGAAACCGGAGCUAAUACCGGUAUAUAACGAGAAGCGCCUGCUUCUUCUUUGAAAGUCGGUUUCGGCUGACGCAUACAGAUGGGCCCGCGGCGCAUUAGCUAGUUGGUGAGGUAACGGCUCACCAAGGCGUCGAUGCGUAGCCGACCUGGGCGGGUGAUCGGCCACUCUGGGACUGAGACACGGCCCAGACUCCUACGGGAGGCAGCAGUAGGGAAUCUUCGGCAAUGGACGAAAGUCUGACCGAGCAACGCCGCGUGAGCGAUGACGGCCUUCGGGUCGUAAAGCUCUGUUGUCAGAGAAGAACAAGUACCGGAGUAACUGCCGGUACCUUGACGGUACCUGACCAGAAAGCCACGGCUAACUACGUGCCAGCCGCCGCCGUAAAAC